GGUGCUGCAGCCUUUUUCGCAAGCUUGCUGUCGAUCGUCCUUUACAAGAAUGGAUUGCAUCAUUACUUGUAUGCCUUUGAAACAUCCACUAGGAUCAUUAUAGGAAUAUUUUCUCGCAAGAACAUACCACAUAAAAAUCAGAUUUGAUGUUCAACACAUAAAUAAUUUGAUUUUAGGACAAGCAUCACAUGCUUUUCUUUUUCUCUUCCCUUCCUUUUCAUUUUUCUCUCCCUCUUUUUCUUAUCUUUAUUCAGAUUUUUUCCAUCAUUUUUCUCUUCAUUUCUACACCUAUUAUCAGCCUAAAUUGGCACGUUGAACCUGGGUGUAGCGCUCCCUUUUUAUAGGAAAGAAGGGGCAACACCAUGGGAUGCCAAGAGUUGGCAUCCCUUAUCUAUUACAUGCCAAAAAUAAAUUUUUAGCAUGAAAUAUAAGGGAAUGGCAUGGAAUAUGAAGUGGUUUACCAGCAGAUGGACUCUUCCUCUGCUAAGAAAAAAUAUAACACCAACUCUUGGCGCAUGGGAAAAGGAAUGGCGUGAGAAACCAAAGAGUCCAUGACAUUAAGGACUCUUCCAUAUCAUCCAAAAUAUAUUGCAUUCCUUAAUGAAUUUUGGCAUGUGAAUUCCUUGCCAGAGAAGGACUCUUCCUUCUCUUCUGCAUCCAUAAUCCUAAGAGCCAUCUCAUGACAUAAGGAAUUAAGAAAUGCAUGGAAUAAAUGGUAUAGAAUUUAAGAGGAGUGGAAGAGGACUCCUCCUCUUAACGCCAUUUAUUUUUGGGCGUGCCAUUAAUUUUGUGCAUGUGGAGUUGGCGUGGAGGAGGUUAAUCUGAUAUGAAACACUUUCAUAAAAAUCAGAUCAGCCACCUGUUUAAUUAUAGGUUCAAACCCAAUCAUAUUAGGUCAAGACUAUAAGUCAAAGGUUAGCNN
rnacentral:lncRNA from 1 species